CCGCUUCUCCCUCAUCCUCAGUGCCAGUUAUCUCCUCAUAAAAGGCGAUUAGGUUAGUCAGACUUGAUUUGCCUUUGGUGAAUCCAUGCUGACUCUUCCUGAUCACUUUCCUCUCCUCUAAGUGCUUCAGA